ACAGGUGCUGCAUGGCUGUCGUCAGCUCGUGUCGUGAGAUGUUGGGUUAAGUCCCGCAACGAGCGCAACCCUUGCCUUUAGUUUGCCAGCAGUUCGGCUGGGCACUCUAAAGGGACUGCCGGUGUUAAACCGGAGGAAGGUGGGGAUGACGUCAAGUCCUCAUGGCCUUUAUGACCAGGGCUACACACGUACUACAAUGGCCGAUACAAAGGGCAGCGACACUGCGAGGUGAAGCCAAUCCCGUAAAAUCGGUCUCAGUCCGGAUUGGAGUCUGCAACUCGACUCCAUGAAGUUGGAAUCGCUAGUAAUCGUGGAUCAGCAUGCCACGGUGAAUACGUUCCCGGGCCUU
rnacentral:rRNA from 1 species